GGAUUGUUUGCCAAUGAUGUAUUCAUAUUUGCACGUAUUAUCAGAAAUAAGGAUGAUGAUCUGCAAUUGUCACUACCUCUGAGGCAAACAAUCA